UUUCCGGUUGAUCCUGCCGGACCUGACUGCCAUCGGAUUGAUACUAAGCCAUGCGAGUCUUUGCAGUAAUGCAAGGCAUACGGCUCAGUAACACGUAGUCAACUUACCCUAUGGACGAGGAUAAUCUCGGGAAACUGAGCAUAAUACUCGAUAGAUCAUAAUGCCUGGAAUGGUUUAUGGUUGAAAUGAUUCGUCGCCAUAGGAUGGGACUGCGGCCUAUCAGCUUGUUGGUGAGGUAAUGGCCCACCAAGGCGAUUACAGGUACGGGCUCUGAGAGGAGAAGCCCGGAGAUGGGUACUGAGACAAGGACCCAGGCCCUAUGGGGCGCAGCAGGCGAGAAAACUUUGCAAUGUGCGAAAGCACGACAAGGUUAAUCCGAGUGAUUUCUGCUAAAGAAAUCUUUUGCAAGUCAUAAAACCACUAGUGAAUAAGGGGUGGGCAAGUUCUGGUGUCAGCCGCCGCGGUAAAACCAGCACCUCAAGUGGUCAGGAGGAUUAUUGGGCCUAAAGCAUCCGUAGCCGGCUCUGUAAGUUUUCGGUUAAAUCCAUGUGCUCAACGCAUGGGCUGCCGAAAAUACUGCAUAGCUAGGGAGUGGGAGAGGUAGACGGUACUCGGUAGGAAGGGGUAAAAUCCUUUGAUCUAUCGAUGACCACCUGUGGCGAAGGCGGUCUACCAGAACACGUUCGACGGUGAGGGAUGAAAGCUGGGGGAGCAAACCGGAUUAGAUACCCGGGUAGUCCCAGCUGUAAGCGAUGCAGACUCGAUGAUGCAUUGGCAUAUAGCCAGUGCAGUGUCGCAGGGAAGCCGUUAAGUCUGCCGCCUGGGAAGUACGUACGCAAGUAUGAAACUUAAAGGAAUUGGCGGGGGAGCACCACAGGGGGUGAAGCCUGCGGUUCAAUUGGAUUCAACGCCGGG
rnacentral:rRNA from 1 species